UAAGUCCCGCAACGAGCGCAACCCUCAUCCUUAGUUGCUAUCAGGUAAUGCUGAGUACUUUAAGGAAACUGCCAGUGAUAAGCUGGAGGAAGGUGGGGAUGAUGUCAAGUCAUCAUGGCCUUUAUGGAGUGGGCUACACACGUGCUACAAUGGUGUCUACAAUGGGUUGCAAGGUGCGCAAGCCUAAGCUAAUCCCUAAAAGACAUCUCAGUUCGGAUUGUACUCUGCAACUCGAGUACAUGAAGUUGGAAUCGCUAGUAAUCGUGGAUCAGCAUGCCACGGUGAAUACGUUCUCGGGUCUUGUACACACUGCCCGUCACGCCAUGGGAAUUGGUUU
rnacentral:rRNA from 1 species